AAAAACUGAGCUUUUUCAUCGAUUAUUCUUUCUAAAUUGAAUGCAAGUAAUUGUCUUUUCGACGAAAACUGUGUUCUGCGAAUAAGAAACUGCCAUUAUUAUACUGGGUCACCGAUGGGUUAGGUGCUGGAGGAAGGGUAGUUUUAGUUUCUGGAUAUUUAACUUCAACUCUCUGUGGUACUUGGAGAAGACCCACUUCAAUUUCUUUAUAGAAAAAGAGAGGAAAAUGGAUCAAAGACACGAUCAAAUUGAAGGGAAUUCAGAACCCA
rnacentral:misc_RNA from 1 species